UACGGGGGGGGCAAGCGUUGUUCGGAAUUACUGGGCGUAAAGGGCUCGUAGGUGGCCAACUAAGUCAGACGUGAAAUCCCUCGGCUUAACCGGGGAACUGCGUCUGAUACUGGAUGGCUUGAGGUUGGGAGAGGGAUGCGGAAUUCCAGGUGUAGCGGUGAAAUGCGUAGAUAUCUGGAGGAACACCGGUGGCGAAGGCGGCAUUCUGGACCAAUAUUGACGCUGAGGAGCGAAAGCCAGGGGAGCAAACGGG
rnacentral:rRNA from 1 species